rnacentral:lncRNA from 1 species
GGCCCAGAGCAUCAUUUUCUGUUUAAACAAAGUCACAGAGGGGACAUGGCAGUGACCCAGGGUUCCUGUGCUGUAGCUGCUGUCGAUGGUGAAGUGUCUCCCAUGUUGGCUGGGGACCAAGCUCAUGCAUCCAUAUAGCUGAACCUCGAGUCUGAGAGGCCCUGUGGACAGCUUGCAGGGAGAACAACGGGUUAGGGGUUAAGGCCAGCAUCUCGCCUCCCUCUUCACCUUAAAAAAUAUAUUUUUUUAAUUUUUGUGGGUACAUAGGUGUAUAUAUUUAUGGGGUUCAUGAGAUGUUUUGAUACAGACACACAAUGUAUAAUAAUCACAUCAUGGAAAAUGGUGUAUCCAUCCCCUCAAACAUUUGUCCUUUGUGUUACAAACAAUCCAUUUAUAUUCUUUUAGGUUUUUGUUGUGUUUUUUUUUUUUUUUUGAGACGGAGUCUCACUCUCUCACCCAGGCUGGAGUGCAGUGGCGCAAUCUCGGCUCACUGCAAGCUCCGCCUCCCAGGUUCAUGCCAUUCUCCUGCCUCAGCNNNNNNNNNNGCCACUAAUCUCAUUGUCCAGGGGCCUUUCAGGCGCCUUCCUCUGCCGGCCCGGAACUCUCAACUCCUCUGGUUUGAAGAGGCAGCGAUAGCAAAAGGUUAGCAAGGGCGCAUUAAUCGCUUAAGAGAGGGAGCAUCAUCCUGGACAAAAUGACAAUGAGAGGGCAUCCCAGGCCCCCUAACAAAGAGAUGGGAGCACAGCUCUGGGCUCAUCUCGUUGCCUUUGCUUGCUUGGAAUGACAGCUCUCCUGGUCUAGCCGCCACCAGCUCGCUAGGUGGCUCUCCCCUCUCUGGGCCUCAGUUUCCUCAUCUGUAAAGAGGGUUCUUGGACGUGGUGACCUCCGAGGGCCCUUCUGGUGUGGGUGUUAUUCCUCUGUCUAUGAUGGGCUCUGGUUGGGCACAGAGCAUGUCACACAUCUGGAGCCGCCCUGGGCUUAAUCUACUGGGAAAGCGGGAGGGCUACAGAAGCUUCUCCUGCUUUCUAGGGAAUUUGAGCCUCCCAAAGAUUCUAGCCUCUAGAUGGUACCUGGUUUGGGUGUAGCGAGAAUCCCCUUUCCUCUCCCUACCUCUCACUGUUCUCCUGCCCCUGCCCCCCGCCCUUUUUUUUUGGUUUGAGACAGAGUCUCACUCUGUCGCCCAGGCUGGAGUACAGUGGCGCGAUCUCAGCUCACUGCAACCUCUGACUCCCUGGUUCAAGCGAUUCUCCUGCCUCAGCCUCCCGAGUAACUGGGAUUACAGGCACGUGCCACCACACCUGGCUAAUUUUUGUAUUUUUAGUAGAAACGGGGUUUCACCAUGUUGGCCAGGAUAGUCUUGAUCUCCUGACCUCGUGAUCUGCCCACCCUGGUCCCCAAAGUGCUGGGAUUACAGGCAUGAGUUUUUUUUUUCCUUUUUUUCUUUCUUUUUUUUUUUGAGACAGGGUCUCGUUCUGUCACCCAGGCUAGAGUGCAGUGGUGCAAUCACAGCUCAUUGCAACUUUAACUCCAGGGCACAAACAACCCUCCCAUCUCACCCUCCCAAGCAGCUGGGACCACAGAUGCAUGCCACCACGUCUGACUAAAAUGUUAUUUUUCAUUUUUGUAGAGACGGGGUCUCCUUAUGUUGCCCAGGCUGGUCUCGAACUCCUGGGCUCAAGCAAUUCUCUUGCCUCUGGGAUUACAGGGAUGAGCCACCAUACUUGACUUCUGCUCCCCUUUUUGGUAAAUGAAACCAGUGAAACUAGUGCCCACAAACCCCGCCUCAAGCCCAUUCUCUGACAGAUUUGGAAAAUCCAAAAUGUGUGAUCAUCAAGAAUGGAGUCUUUACUGAGAGACCUGCCAUAAGACUCCUCGAAAAAGAAGCCCCAUUCAGAUCUAUCCAGGUCACUGACCACAGACAAGCCCUUGGCACAGGUGAGGUAGGCCCCCGUGGGAGGAAGGGCUCUGCACGGCAGACAGUGAUGGCCCUCAGGACCACUGCUGUCCCCUGAUCACACAGCUUGCUGCACACCAACCCAGCUGAUCAAGGGCACACUUCAUUUUUUUCUGGUUCAUUCACGUGACAUUCAUUAACCUGGCCGCAUAUUAAGAACAGGAGAAUUACACUCCUUGGUUGUCCUAAUAAAUACCCUUUAUGUUUUUUAACUCCCAACUCUUUGAACACCCCAUCUAGUCCCAACGCAACAACCUAUGCAACUCACCAGCUCUGCUUUAAACAAAACCUGCAGCCCUGAAGGAUUCAGGGGCUUGGAAAAGAAAGAGAUUUGGAUGAGGUCGGGGAGGAAGGUGUGGUCAUGGACACACAAAGGUAACCUGUGGGCCCGACCCCAUCGGAGGCAAGGUGGUUGACAUGGGCUCAUCCCCAAGAGGCCCGGUCAGAGCGCAGCAGCACCUCCAGCCUGUGAUACUGGCCAUGCUCAUGGGCCCCUCCAAUUCCUGUUCCUGGCAUCGACCACAGUGCAUGCCACACAGCAGGUGGUUAAAUCAAUGGAUCCUGCACAGAUCAACUGGUGUCAGGAAAACAUUGACUUCAGCUUCUCACAGGCUCUGCAGGUGCCUUAUGGGAGCCCUUGGUCAGUCUCUGGGAAGAACAGCCCAGAGGCAACCCUGA